UUGACUUUGGGCCAGGUAAAGACCAUGGGGGUAGCCCAUGGCAACUGAUGUAUGUUGCAUGUUAUUCCAUUAAAGUGUGUUAUGUGAUAUUUUGGGAAAUCACUAAGCUUUUGCUUACAUUUUAUUUGGGUGUUUCAGGUACUUCAGGUACAAAAGGGAAGGGUCCAGCAUGAUGGCGCAACAUUUACUCUCCAACACUUUCAGCAUUUAUCUGUUUUGAUACUCUGAUAUUUACCUGUUGUUCUCUUAUUUAACAUAAAGUUCGCCUCCUACUAAUCAAUGAUAAAUAUCUAUAUAUAUUAUUAUACAUAAACAAACGUUUUUUAACGACGCGAUCUAUUAUCGCUUUUUGCAUGGCCUCGGAAAUUUAAAGUAGGUGCNUUUUGCAUGGCCUCGAAAAUUUAAAGUAGGUGCAAAUUCUCCCAAUUUGUGUCCUACCAUACGAUCUGUUAUAUAAAUAGGUGAAUGUUCCUUUCCAUUACAAUAUGAUGUAUUGGGAACAAAUUAUUAAUGUAAUCCUAUUUUCAAUAGUGAAAAUUUUUAUAGGAUUUAUGGGCUGUUACAAGUUGGUAUCAUAGCCUUAGUUUGAGAGAUUCGGGCACACUCUCGGGUGUGUCAGAACUCAAACUGAGGAAACGGUAAACAUUUUUCUAAAGAAACAAAAGUUAAGUUUUUAUGAAGAUGGUUUCUUAAGUAAAAAGGAAAGUGCAAUGCGCGAAAGCAUCCGGGCUCAAGUAAGUGUUUCCCAAUGUAUUAACCAUGCUAGGAAUAUAUAUUUCUUAG
rnacentral:lncRNA from 1 species